AUUGAACGCUGGCGGCAUGCCUUACACAUGCAAGUCGAACGGCAGCGCGGACUUCGGUCUGGCGGCGAGUGGCGAACGGGUGAGUAAUACAUCGGAACGUACCCUGUUGUGGGGGAUAACUAGUCGAAAGAUUAGCUAAUACCGCAUAAGACCUGAGGGUGAAAGUGGGGGACCGCAAGGCCUCACGCAGCAGGAGGGGCCGAUGGCUGAUUAGCUAGUUGGUGGGGUAAAGGCGGCCCAAGGCGACGAUCAGUAGCUAGUCUGAGAGGACGAUCAGCCACCCUGGGACUGAGACACGGCCCAGGCUCCUACGGGAGGCAGCAGUGGGGAAUUUUGGACAAUGGGGGCAACCCUGAUCCAGCAAUGCAGCGUGUGUGAAGAAGGCCUGCGGGUUGUAAAGCACUUUUGUCCGGAAAGAAAUCGCGCUGGUUAAGACCUGGCGUGGAUGACGGUACCGGAAGAAUAAGCACCGGCUAACACGUG
rnacentral:rRNA from 1 species